rnacentral:rRNA from 1 species
AGUGAACGCUGGCGGUAGGCCUAACACAUGCAAGUCGAACGGCAGCACAGAGGAGCUUGCUCCUUGGGUGGCGAGUGGCGGACGGGUGAGGAAUACAUCGGAAUCUACUCUGUCGUGGGGGAUAACGUAGGGAUACUUACGCUAAUACCGCAUACGACCUACGGGUGAAAGCAGGGGACCUUCGGGCCUUGCGCGAUUGAAUGAGCCGAUGUCGGAUUAGCUAGUUGGCGGGGUAAAGGCCCACCAAGGCGACGAUCCGUAGCUGGUCUGAGAGGAGGAUCAGCCACACUGGAACUGAGACACGGUCCAGACUCCUACGGGAGGCAGCAGUGGGGAAUAUUGGACAAUGGGCGCAAGCCUGAUCCAGCCAUACCGCGUGGGUGAAGAAGGCCUUCGGGUUGUAAAGCCCUUUUGUUGGGAAAGAAAUCCGGCUGGCUAAUACCCGGUUGGGAUGACGGUACCCAAAGAAUAAGCACCGGCUAACUUCGUGCCAGCCGCCGCAGUAA